UCAUUAGUCGACUCCCUCAGUGAAAGAUGGAAACACAAUUUCAGAAGAACAAUUCAUGAGUCGACUCCUACAGAAAAAGGCAGAAGCUCAUUUUUAGAUGAAUAGUAGAUGAGCCGACUCCAACAUUCUGUGAGUCGACUCUCUCAGAAAAAGCAGAAACAUCUUUUAGAUGAACAAUAGAUGAGCCGACUCCAAUAGUCCGUGAGUCAACUCUCUCAGAGAAAGCCAGAAAUCUAGUUUUGAAGAUCUCAAGCUCGAGUUGACUC
rnacentral:lncRNA from 1 species